rnacentral:sRNA from 1 species
UGUUUUUUUUGUGGUUUAGGACGAAAAUAAAAUUUAGUUUAAAUUUUUAUUUAAAUAAUUAAAUAAUAAACUAAAAUAUAUAUAUAAGAAGACAAUUUCUAUAUAUAUAUAUAUAUAUAUAUAUAUAUAUAUCUUAUUAUAUAAAGUACGGUUUUGAAAGUUACUAACUCACAAGAUCAUGACACGUGUCAAUUUUAACAAUUUUAACGAUGUUAGAUUUUAACAUUUGUUAGAUUUUUAUUCUAUUUUUUUUCUAAUAUAAAGUAAAAGAAACUAAAUAAAGAAACAUAUUUACAUAUUUAUAUGUCUAUAUCU